CGUUUGUGACUGUAGGGCUGGAGUUCGGCAGAGGGGGGUGGAAUUCCACGUGUAGCAGUGAAAUGCGUAGAGAUGUGGAGGAACACCGAUGGCGAAGGCAGCCCCCUGGGCCGCGACUGACGCUCAUGCACGAAAGCGUGGGGAGCAAACAGGAUUAGAUACCCUGGUAGUCCACGCCCUAAACGAUGCCAACUAGUUGUUGGGGAAGGAGACUUCCUUAGUAACGAAGCUAACGCGUGAAGUUGGCCGCCUGGGGAGUACGGUCGCAAGAUUAAAACUCAAAGGAAUUGACGGGGACCCGCACAAGCGGUGGAUGAUGUGGAUUAAUUCGAUGCAACGCGAAAAACCUUACCUACCCUUGACAUGCCGCGGACCCUGCUGAGAGGUGGGGGUGCCCGAAAGGGAGCGCGGACACAGGUGCUGCAUGGCUGUCGUCAGCUCGUGUUCGUGAGAUGUUGGGUUAAGUCCCGCAACGAGCGCAACCCUUGCCGCUAAUUGCCAUCAUUUGGUUGGGCACUUUAGCGGGACUGCCGGUGACAAACCGGAGGAAGGUGGGGAUGACGUCAAGUGCCUUCAUGGCCCUUAUGGUAGGGUUCACACGUCAUACAUGCCGGUACAGAGGGCUGCCAACCCGUGAGGGGGA
rnacentral:rRNA from 1 species